GUUCCAGCAGCCGCGGUAACACGUAGGGGGCGAGCGUUGUCCGGAUUUAUUGGGCGUAAAGAGCUCGUAGGCGGUUUCGUUAGUCGGGUGUGAAAACCCCAGGCUCAACCUGGGGACGCCACCCGAUACUGCGAUGACUAGAGUCCGGUAGGGGAGUGUGGAAUUCCUGGUGUAGCGGUGAAAUGCGCAGAUAUCAGGAGGAACACCAACGGCGAAGGCAGCACUCUGGGCCGGAACUGACGCUGAGGAGCGAAAGCGUGGGUAGCGAACAGGAUUAGAUACCCUGGUAGUCC
rnacentral:rRNA from 1 species